CUCGUAGGAUGAAAGUUGCCGUCGCUGGCAGUAGGCUACUCUGGAGGAGCGUUUUCUUGUGCUUAUUUCACGCUGGGCAUCGUGUGACAAAAGCUCCCUGGAAUCCUGCCUUAUUUCACCCGACAUUUGACUAGUAGACUACCCAUGUUCAUCAAGCUGACGCGCCCUCCCUCCUCCACUCUGACCCCUCGGGCCUCUUGCCCAUAGCACAAACAAGGCA